AUGGCACCUCUUGAUAAGAACCAAACAUGGAUACUUACUUCUCUCCCUACAGAUAAGAAAGUUGUGGGUUGUAAAUGGGUAUUUAUAGUUAAACAAACUCCAGAUGGCAAGGUGGAAAGAUAUAAGGCUAGGCUAGUGGCAAAAGGUUAUAGUCAAACCUAUGGGGUAGAUUAUGAUGAAACGUUUGCACCGGUGGCCAAAUUGAGUAAUGUCAAAACUUUAAUCUCGAUAGUUGUAAGUCAACACUGGAAAUUUUUCCAGAUGGAUGUUAAGAAUGCUUUUCUCCAUGGAGAUCUGCAAGAGGAGGUUUAUAUGGAAAUUUCUCCUGGGUUUAGCAGUCGGGAAACAACGGGUAAAGUAUGUUGGUUAAGAAAGUCUCUCUAUGGACUAAAACAAUCACCUAGGGCUUGGUUUGGAAGGUUUCGAACGGAAAUCUAUUCUAUGGAGUAUCAACAAAGCAAUGCAGAUCAUACCAUGUUCCUUAAAUGUCUGUGUGGUUAG
rnacentral:rRNA from 1 species